rnacentral:rRNA from 1 species
UACGUAGGGUGCAAGCGUUGUCCGGAAUUAUUGGGCGUAAAGAGCUCGUAGGCGGUCUGUCACGUCUGCUGUGAAAACUCGGGGCUUAACCCCGGGCCUGCAGUGGGUACGGGCAGACGUAGAGUGCGGUAGGGGAGACUGGAAUUCCUGGUGUAGCGGUGAAAUGCGCAGAUAUCAGGAGGAACACCGGUGGCGAAGGCGGCUCGCUGGGCCAUUCCUGACGCUGAGACGCGAAAGCUAGGGGAGCGAACAGG